AGCGAACGCUGGCGGCAGGCCUAACACAUGCAAGUCGAACGAACCUUUCGGGGUUAGUGGCGGACGGGUGAGUAACACGUGGGAACGUGCCUUUAGGUUCGGAAUAACUUAGGGAAACUUGUGCUAAUACCGAAUGUGCCCUUCGGGGGAAAGAUUUAUCGCCUUUAGAGCGGCCCGCGUCUGAUUAGCUAGUUGGUUGAGGUAAUGGCUCACCAAGGCGACGAUCAGUAGCUGGUCUGAGAGGAUGAUCAGCCACAUUGGGACUGAGACACGGCCCAAACUCCUACGGGAGGCAGCAGUGGGGAAUCUUGCGCAAUGGGCGAAAGCCUGACGCAGCCAUGCCGCGUGAAUGAUGAAGGUCUUAGGAUUGUAAAAUUCUUUCACCGGGGACGAUAAUGACGGUACCCGGAGAAGAAGCCCCGGCUAACUUCGUG
rnacentral:rRNA from 1 species